CAAGGCUUGACAUAUACGAGAACGGGCCAGAAAUGGUCAACUCUUUGGACACUCGUAAACAGGUGGUGCAUGGUUGUCGUCAGCUCGUGUCGUGAGAUGUUGGGUUAAGUCCCGCAACGAGCGCAACCCUCGUUCUAUGUUGCCAGCACGUAAUGGUGGGAACUCAUGGGAUACUGCCGGGGUCAACUCGGAGGAAGGUGGGGAUGACGUCAAAUCAUCAUGCCCCUUAUGUCUUGGGCUUCACGCAUGCUACAAUGGCCGGUACAAAGGGCUGCAAUACCGUAAGGUGGAGCGAAUCCCAAAAAGCCGGUCCCAGUUCGGAUUGAGGUCUGCAACUCGACCUCAUGAAGUCGGAGUCGCUAGUAAUCGCGGAUCAGCAACGCUGCGGUGAAUACGUUCCC
rnacentral:rRNA from 1 species